UAAGCAUAUCAAUAAGCGGAGGAAAAGAAACCAACAGGGAUUACCUCAGUAACGGCGAGUGAAGCGGUAACAGCUCAAAUUUGAAAGCUGCCAACAGGCCGCGUUGUAAUUUGUAGAAGCUGCUUUGGGUAUCGGCCCGGUCUAAGUUCCUUGGAACAGGACGUCAUAGAGGGUGAGAAUCCCGUAUGUGAUCGGUGCCGGCGCCCGUGUAAAGCGCUUUCGACGAGUCGAGUUGUUUGGGAAUGCAGCUCAAAAUGGGUGGUAAAUUUCAUCUAAAGCUAAAUAUUGGCCAGAGACCGAUAGCGCACAAGUAGAGUGAUCGAAAGAUGAAAAGCACUUUGGAAAGAGAGUUAAACAGUACGUGAAAUUGUUGAAAGGGAAGCGCUUGCAACCAGACUUGCGGGCGGUCGAUCAUCCGAGGUUCUCCCCGGUGCACUCGAUCGUUCUCAGGCCAGCAUCGGUUUCCGGGGUGGGAUAAAGGCGGUGGGAAUGUGGCUCUUCGGAGUGUUAUAGCCCACCGUGCAAUGCCGCCACCGGGGACCGAGGACCGCGCUUCGGCUAGGAUGCUGGCGUAAUGGUUGUAAGCGGCCCGUCUUGAAACACGGACCAAGGAGUCUAACAUCUAUGCGAGUGUUUGGGUGUCAAACCCAUACGCGUAAUGAAAGUGAACGGAGGUAAGAACCCUUUAGGGUGCAUUAUCGACCGAUCCUGAUGUCUUCGGAUGGAUUUGAGUAAGAGCAUAGCUGUUGGGACCCGAAAGAUGGUGAACUAUGCGUGAAUAGGGUGAAGCCAGAGGAAACUCUGGUGGAGGCUCGCAGCGGUUCUGACGUGCAAAUCGAUCGUCAAAUUUGCGUAUAGGGGCGAAAGACUAAUCGAACCAUCUAGUAGCUGGUUCCUGCCGAA
rnacentral:rRNA from 1 species